rnacentral:rRNA from 1 species
CAGCAGCCGCGGUAACACGUAGGGUGCGAGCGUUAAUCGGAAUUACUGGGCGUAAAGCGUGCGCAGGCGGUUCGUUAAGACAGAUGUGAAAUCCCCGGGCUUAACCUGGGAACUGCAUUUGUGACUGGCGAGCUAGAGUAUGGCAGAGGGGGGUAGAAUUCCACGUGUAGCAGUGAAAUGCGUAGAGAUGUGGAGGAAUACCGAUGGCGAAGGCAGCCCCCUGGGCCAAUACUGACGCUCAUGCACGAAAGCGUGGGGAGCAAACAGGAUUAGAUACCCCAGUAGUCCCUGUCUCUUAUAA